rnacentral:rRNA from 1 species
AUUGAACGCUGGCGGCAGGCCUAACACAUGCAAGUCGAGCGGCAGCGGGAAAGUAGCUUGCUACUUUUGCCGGCGAGCGGCGGACGGGUGAGUAAUGCCUGGGAAAUUGCCCAGUCGAGGGGGAUAACAGUUGGAAACGACUGCUAAUACCGCAUACGCCCUACGGGGGAAAGCAGGGGACCUUCGGGCCUUGCGGGAUUGGAUAUGCCCAGGUGGGAUUAGCUAGUUGGUGAGGUAAUGGCUCACCAAGGCGACGAUCCCUAGCUGGUCUGGGAGGAUGAGCAGCCACACUGGACCUGAGACACGGUCCAGACUCCUACGGGAGGCAGCAGUGGGGAAUAUUGCACAAUGGGGGAAACCCUGAUGCAGCCAUGCCGCGUGUGUGAAGAAGGCCUUCGGGUUGUAAAGCACUUUCAGCGAGGAGGAAAGGUUGGUGCCUAAUACGUAUCAACUGUGACGUUACUCGCAGAAGAAGCACCGGCUAACUCCGUGCCAGCAGCCGCCGUAACAC